UGGAUUUGGAUCAUGUAUGACCUGCCCGACUCAAAUGAUCCAAUAAAUCGAAAAUAUUUUACUGAACGGAGUUGAACCAAGCAGGACGUAUCCAAAUUCAAAAUCCGGCAAAUCUCCUUCGAAACUUUGGGGAAAAAAAAAAAACUGCUUGGAAACCUACCCUUUCCUUUCCCUUUUCCUACUUCCCGUAGAAGGAAUUCCAGCUGCCCGGAAAACGGCGCGAGAAUCUCUUCCCCAGAACAUCCAAUGGAUGAUGAGCAAACGGUCAAGGUAUCAUCUCUCUCGCUCCUUUAGUGCUCUGCGGUUCUGAUUAUGGAUUCUAUUCUUGUCUUCCUUUAAGGGUUCUAUUGAUAUGGUGUUUUUUCUCAAUUCUCUACUAAUGUAGGAUCGAGAAUCUAAUUAGCUGAGCUGUGGCUUUUGAUUGUGGAUAUUUUUCUCUUGGUUCCUUGCGUUUCUACCAUAUUUGGGCGGUGGAAAACUACUGGAAAUUCGACUUUUUUGUUCUCUUUAUAAAGUUGCAAUCCACAGUGUUCGCCGUGUAAUUCGUGGGUGAUCCAAAGUUUGUGCGGUUUUUGCUUUGCCUGCAGUUAUUUUCCUAUUUCUUUUCUUCUUUCUUUUUGAUUCUUGAGCUGAUAAGAAUGUCUCCUGGAUCCUAUACAAUCUUUUUUUUUCCCCCCUAUAAAUUCCUUUUGAAUGAUUUCUUCUACUAAUUUUAUUUUUUUAUCUUGUUUUCAUGAUUAUGGAAGACACGCCUAUCUUAAAUGAGUUGUAAUUUCUCUUUUGAAGCCUUUAACAUGUGGAAUACAGUUCGUAAUUAAUUAGAACACGUCUAUUUGUCCACGAAGAAUUUAUGAAGACAUUCGACGUAAUUUUAGUGUAUGAAUGAAGUGGAGCUUUUUUGCUGGAGAGUUGACAUGAGUAAGGCUGCUGAUGUUGUAUGAAGUUUCAGAAUGCUGGGGACAAAACAAGAGUAGGACAUAUUGAAUGAGCAUUGCAUAGAUUAUAAUGCCUGAAUAACUGUAUUCUGUAUCGAAGACAGUUUG
rnacentral:lncRNA from 1 species